rnacentral:rRNA from 1 species
UACGUAGGUGGCAAGCGUUGUCCGGAUUUACUGGGCGUAAAGAGCGCGCAGGCGGUCGUUCAAGUCGCGUGUGAAAGCCCCCGGCUCAACUGGGGAGGGUCACUCGAUACUGAUCGACUGGAAGGCAGGAGAGGGAAGCGGAAUUCCCGGUGUAGUGGUGAAAUGCGUAGAUAUCGGGAGGAACACCAGUGGCGAAGGCGGCUUCCUGGCCUGUUCUUGACGCUGAGGCGCGAAAGCUAGGGGAGCAAACGGG